UACGGAGGGUGCGAGCGUUGUCCGGAAUCACUGGGCGUAAAGGGCGCGUAGGUGGCCUGUGGAAGUCUGCGGUGAAAGCCCGGCGCUCAACGCCGGGUCGGCCGUGGAUACUCUCGGGCUCGAGCUUACUAGAGGCAGAUGGAAUUCCGGGUGUAGCGGUGGAAUGCGUAGAGAUCCGGAAGAACACCGGUGGCGAAGGCGGUCUGCUGGGGUAAUGCUGACACUGAUGCGCGACAGCGUGGGGAGCGAACCGG
rnacentral:rRNA from 1 species